rnacentral:rRNA from 1 species
CCUAACACAUGCAAGUCGAACGAGCCAAUAUACUUAUACUAUUUAGCUAGUGGCAAACGGGUGAGUAAAGUAUGGGAAUCUACCUUGCAGUAUGUAAUAACUAUUGGAAACGAUAGCUAAUAACAUAUAUUGCUGAGAAGUGAAAGAUUUAUCGCUGCAAAAUGAGCCCAUAUAAGAUUAGCUAGUUGGUAAGGUAAAAGCUUACCAAGGCAACAAUCUUUAGCUGGUUCGAGAGAAUGAACAGCCACACUGGAACUUAGACACGGUCCAGACUCCUACGGGAGGCAGCAGUGAGGAAUUUUGGACAAUGAACGAAAGUUUGAUCCAGCGACGUCACGUGAAUGAUGAAGGCCCUCGGGUUGUAAAGUUCUUUUAGUGAAAAAGAUAAUGACGGUAUUCACAAAAAAAGUCCCGGCUAACUUCGUGCCAGCAGCCGCGGUAAUACGAAGGGGGCAAGCGUUACUUGGAAUUAUUGGGCGUAAAGCGUGCGCAGGCGGUUUUAUAAGUUGAGAGUGAAAUACUUUGGCUUAACCACAGAACUGCUUUUAAAACUAUGAGACUUGAGUUUCAGAGAAGGUAGAGGAAUUCUUGAUGUAGGGGUGGAAUCCGUAGAUAUCAAGAGGAAUACCGAAG